CUGUUGAAUGAACAAAGAGAAAGUGAGCACACCCCUUGACAAGUAUGGGAAGAGGUUCUUGGGCCUAACAAUAUGGAUAGGGUUAAGGCAUUGCCACCUACUUUGUGGCAUCUAACCAUCAUUUUUA